UGGAAAACGGUUAACAUGGAUGGAGAGAUAAAGAAAUGACAGUUGGUUGGUUAGGAAUGGCGCAGGGCUUAUCCUGGGAAAACAGCACAUAGUCAUGAUUCCAAGUUGAGAGGAAGCAGAGUGAAGAAGCAGCAUUGAAAUUGCAAGUUAGAAAUGCACUCGCUAUCUCACUCUCACAGCUUCCUACGCCCACUUGCAUCGUUUCCCUCUUCUUCCGCUCAUCGCACUUCCUACCUCACUCUUCACUCAUCCUCUUCAUCUUUCAUCAGCUCGGCUAUCUAUCGCACCCAUGCACCUUCAACAACCCCUAACAAACUUCGGGGUAAAAGGGUAAUUCCAUCUGACAGUUACAACGGUUCCCAUUGGGAAUGUCAGUUAUCCCCGCCACACCGUGCUGACGUGGCUCCUUCUGAGAUUGACACCGACGAUGGUUCAUCCAAGGGGCAUCUCAAGUUUCUACUCCUGUUUGGGUUCCUCGCACUUGGGGACUCUUACCCUGCAUUUGCCGCUUCAGAUUCCUUUCCUUUCUUCCAUGAUUUUGGUGACUUAAGCACAGGUUUUGCUUCAGCAUUUCUAUUAAUCUUUUUCUCUGAGCUGGGAGACAAGACUUUUUUCAUUGCAGCACUCUUGGCAGCUAGGAAUUCAGGUGUUGUUGUUUUCAUUGGCACAUUUGGCGCACUUGCUGCAAUGACUCUCAUAUCAGUUGUCCUUGGCCGAACUUUUCACUAUGUUGAUGAAAUCUUGCCCUUCAGGUUUGGUGAGACUGAUUUACCUGUUGAUGACAUUGCUGCUGUUUGCUUGUUGCUGUACUUUGGAGUCUCUACUCUCGUGGAUGCAUCAUCAAGCGAUGGCCAGAAAUCAGAUGAUGAGCAGAAGGAGGCCGAGUUAGCAGUUUCAGAUUUUUCUGGAAAUGGUGCUGGAAUAUUAGCAGCUGCUGGCACAGUUGUCAGUACUUUCCUCUUAGUUUUUGUUGCUGAAUGGGGUGAUAAAUCAUUUUUCUCCACAAUUGAUCCCCCCCCUACUAUUCAGCCCUUGCAGCAGCUUCUUCACCUCUUGGAGUCAUAGGAGGAGCGCUAGCUGGUCACGGCGCUGCAACUUUGCUUGCUGUACUUGGGGGCUCUCUACUCGGGACAUUUUUGUCAGAGAAGGUUAUUUCCUACAUUGGAGGUGUUCUCUUUCUCGUCUUUGCUGCAGUGACCCUAUUUGAAAUUGUGCAAUAGAGGAUAAAAGCGCCUCCAUAAGCUAAUUACAAAGCCAUCAAGAACGCACUUGUCUCCAGUGUUUUAUACUUUUGUCGGAACUUCUUUUAGAACUCAUCUUAAUUGCGGCUAAAAAUCUUAGUAUCCGAUCCAUCAAUAAGUGUGUUACGUAUCAUUAUCUUUUGUAGAAAUUGUUCAUCUUCCUUUAUGUGUAGUCCUCUUAAAUUUAAGAUCUCUUAUGUUUAUUUUUCAAGUGAAAUGUUAAUUACUUAUUACAAAACACAUUCUUUAAUUGUUGUGGAUAUUGUAUAUUGAGAUUUUUAUAGAUUAGUUCCAUCAAGCACUGUACUGGUGACUGGUAACCAUUGAUAUAUUUUUCUAUAGCUUAAGAACUUGUCUAUCUUGUUGAACUCCAUAAGUAUGUGGCACUAUCACAGAUGAAUGAACCUUUUCCUUCUACUGUCCAUCAUGCUUGAACUUGGCCAUCUUCGAAAGCCUAUCAACUUCCUCUACCAAGUAGUCAACCCUCGCUACAAACUCGAUGAUCGAGGAAGUGAAGUUGACCAGCGACAAUGCUUCCGUACUCUCCAAGGCCCUCAUCCUAGGUAACAAGUCUGUCGUUAUCUCACUAUCUUCUUCAGAAGUAGUUUUGAGAAGUAGAUAAGAAUGGAGUUGCAUAGAAUGUUGAAGCCUCUUGGUAGCACUGUGAACCCUCUUGACCUGGGAGUUUUUCAGGCUCCAUUUCAUGCUGCUGAUGUCCCUUCCUAGAAUCCUUAUAAGGUCUGCCACUUCGUUUGAUACCUCUUUGAUUUCUGACUCAAAUAGAAUUCGCAGAUUGUACGGUGCCUGAAAAGUGAAAACCAACCAUUAGAAUGGAAGAACUUCAUAAUAUAAGGUCAUAUGAAAAUGAUAAACAUUUUUUUAACAUAACUCAAAAGUUUGAAUGUAUAUCUGUUGCAUACAAAAAUAAUAGUUUCUUUCUAUAGUAGCAAAAAGAUUUAAAGAUUCUCAUACAUGAUUGUAUUUAAUUUGAUGCAAAUACUAUGUAGUAAAGAGAGAAUAUUAUUACAACCUGAA